rnacentral:tRNA from 1 species
GACAAGGUGGCCCAGUGGUUAAGGCUAUGGACUCUUAAUCCGUUGUGCCAUGCAUGUGUAGGUUUGAAUCCCAUCCUCAUCU